GGUGAACGCUGGCGGUAUGCCUAACACAUGCAAGUCGAACGGCAACACAGUAAGAUCUUGCUCUUACGGGUGGCGACUGGCGGACGGGUGAGGAAUACAUCAGAAUCUACUUUUUCGGGGAUGAUAACGUAGGGAAACUUACACUAAUACCGCAUACGACCUACGGCUGAGAGCAGUAGAUAUUCGCACCUUGCGCGAUUGAAUGAGCCGAUGUCGGAUUAGCUAGUUGGCGGGGUAAAGGCCCACCAAGGCGACGAUCCGUAGCUGGUCUGAGAGGAUGAUCAGCCACACUGGAACUGAGACACGGUCCAGACUCCUACGGGAGGCAGCAGUGGGGAAUAUUGGACAAUGGGCGCAAGCCUGAUCCAGCCAUACCGCGUGGGUGAAGAAGGCCUUCGGGUUGUAAAGCCCUUUUGUUGGGAAAGAAAAGCAGCAGGUUAAUACCCCGCUGUUCUGACGGUACCCAAAGAAUAAGCACCGGCUAACUUCGUG
rnacentral:rRNA from 1 species